AACGAACGCUGGCGGCAGGCUUAACACAUGCAAGUCGAGCGCCCCGCAAGGGGAGCGGCAGACGGGUGAGUAACGCGUGGGAAUCUACCCAUCCCUACGGAACAACUCCGGGAAACUGGAGCUAAUACCGUAUACGCCCUACGGGGGAAAGAUUUAUCGGGGAUGGAUGAGCCCGCGUUGGAUUAGCUAGUUGGUGGGGUAAAGGCCUACCAAGGCGACGAUCCAUAGCUGGUCUGAGAGGAUGAUCAGCCACAUUGGGACUGAGACACGGCCCGAACUCCUACGGGAGGCAGCAGUGGGGAAGAUUGGACAAUGGGCGCAAGCCUGAUCCAGCCAUGCCGCGUGAGUGAUGAAGGUCUUAGGAUUGUAAAGCUCUUUCACCGAUGAAGAUAAUGACGGUAGUCGGAGAAGAAGCCCCGGCUAACUUCGUGCCAGCAGCCGCCGUAACAC
rnacentral:rRNA from 1 species